rnacentral:rRNA from 1 species
UCAGGAUGAACGCUAGCGGCAGGCCUAAUACAUGCAAGUCGGACGGGAUUGAAAUUAAAGCUUGCUUAAUUCAUGAGAGUGGCGCACGGGUGCGUAACGCGUGAGCAACCUACCCAUAUCAGGGGGAUAGCCUCUCGAAAGAGAGAUUAACACCGCAUAACAUCAUUUACCGGCAUCGGUUUAUGAUCAAAUAUUUAUAGGAUAUGGAUGGGCUCGCGUGACAUUAGCUAGUUGGAGGGGUAACGGCCCACCAAGGCUACGAUGUCUAGGGGCUCUGAGAGGAGAAUCCCCCACACUGGUACUGAGACACGGACCAGACUCCUACGGGAGGCAGCAGUAAGGAAUAUUGGUCAAUGGAGGAAACUCUGAACCAGCCAUGCCGCGUGCAAGGAUGACUGCCCUAUGGGUUGUAAACUGCUUUUGUCAGGGAAUAAACCUUUCCACGUGUGGGAAGCUGAAUGUACCUGAAGAAUAAGGAUCGGCUAACUCCGUGCCAGCAGCCGC